rnacentral:rRNA from 1 species
GACGAACGCUGGCGGCGUGCCUAAUACAUGCAAGUCGAGCGGACAGAAGGGAGCUUGCUCCCGGAAGUUAGCGGCGGACGGGUGAGUAACACGUGGGCAACCUACCCUGUAGAUCGGGAUAACAUCGAGAAAUCGGUGCUAAUACCGGAUAAUCAUUUGAAGUGCAUGCUUCGAAUGUAAAAGAUGGCUCCGGCUAUCACUAUGGGACGGGCCCGCGGCGCAUUAGCUAGUUGGUAAGGUAAUGGCUUACCAAGGCAACGAUGCGUAGCCGACCUGAGAGGGUGAUCGGCCACACUGGGACUGCGACACGGCCCAGACUCCUACGGGAGGCAGCAGUAGGGAAUCUUCCGCAAUGGACGAAAGUCUGACGGAGCAACGCCGCGUGAGUGAUGAAGGUUUUCGGAUCGUAAAGCUCUGUUGUUAGGGAAGAACAAGUGCCGUUUGAAUAAGGCGGCACCUUGACGGUACCUAACCAGAAAGCCACGGCUAACUACGUGCCAUCCGCCGCAGUAAAAC